rnacentral:rRNA from 1 species
CCUACGGGCGACAGCAGUGGGGAAUAUUGCGCAAUGGGCGAAAGCCUGACGCAGCGACGCCGCGUGAGGGAUGCAGGUCUUCGGAUCGUAAACCUCUGUCAGCAGGGAAGAACGGUCACUGUGCUAAUCAGCAGUGACUUGACGGUACCUGCAAAGGAAGCACCGGCUCACUCCGUGCCAGCAGCCGCGGUAAUACGGAGGGUUCGCGCGUUAAUCGGACUUACUGGGCGUAAAGCGCUCGUAGGCGGUAUGUCAAGUCAAGGGUGAAAUCCCCGCGCUCAACGUGGGAACUGCCUUUGAAACUGGCAAAAUGGAGGGUGUGAGAGGAUAGUGGAAUUCCAGGUGUAGGAGUGAAAUCCGUAGAUAUCUGGAGGAAAAUCAGUGGCGAAGGCGACUAUCUGGCACAUAACUGACGCUGAGGAGCGAAAGCGUGGGUAGCAAACAGGAUUAGAUACCCGGGUAGUC